GAAAGUUGUGGGCGCGAAGGCGAUCAGAUACCGCCCUAGUCACAACCAUAAACGAUGCCAACCAGCGAUCCGUCGGCGUUACUUCGAUGACCCGAUGGGCAGCUCCCGGGAAACCUGAGUUUUCGGGU
rnacentral:ncRNA from 1 species